AUGGGGGAGGCGACGGCGACGGUGGAGGCAGAGGCGCCUGUGAGCAGCUGGGUGGUGGAGAUGGAGAAGACGAUCGGCGAGAUGAACAUCGACCCGGCGGCGGAGAUGGCGCGGUGGAAGCGCCACUCCAUCUACCGCGUGCCGGAGCGGAUCAAGAACCUGCACAACAGCAAGGCGUACCAGCCGGAGCUGGUCUCGCUGGGGCCCUUCCACCACGGCGACCCGGAGCUGCUCCCCAUGGAGGAGCACAAGCGCCGCGCCGUGGUGCACCUGGUGAAGCGCUCGGGGCGGCCGCUGCGGGAGUUCGUGGCCGCCGUGGCCGAGGUGGCGCAGCAGCUGCAGGACGCCUACAAGGACCUCGGCGACGAGUGGCGCGGCGCCGAGGGCGGCGGCACGGAGCGCUUCGUGCAGCUGAUGGUCACCGACGGCUGCUUCCUGGUGGAGGCGAUGCGGAUGGACGCGCUGCGGGGCAAGGUGCACGAGGAGUACGCGCCCAACGACCCCGUCUUCAGCAAGUACGGCUACCUCUACCUGUGGAACUACAUCCAGUCCGACAUGGUCGUCGUCGAGAACCAGCUGCCGCUGCUCCUCCUCCAGAGGCUUCUCAUUGUCCUCGAUCAUCACAAAUAUCAGAACGCUUCACGAGUGAGCAGGUUGGUGCUUGAUUCUCUAUGUCCGUGGCGGAGACACUUGGUUGGCAUCAAUCACCUUGGGCUCCACCCUCUCGACAUCUUGUACACAAGCCUCACCCACGGCGACCAUCAAGAGCGCACCGGAUCGACGGCGUAUGUCAUGCCCUCGGCGAUGGAGAUCUACGAGGCCGGAAUCCAUUUCAGGGUGAGCGAUACCGACAGCCUCCUCGACGUCCACUUCGAACGUGGCAAGCUAAGCAUGCCGGCGAUCAGGGUCGAUGACAGGACCGAGAAGAAGUUUCUGAACCUGAUGGCGUUCGAGCGGCUCCACCCCGGCGCUGGCAACGACGUGACGGCUUACGUGAUCUUCAUGGACAACAUCAUCAGCUCGGCCAAAGACGUGGCGCUGCUGAGAUCCAAAAACAUUAUCGAGUGUGGGCUGGGCAGCGACGAGGAGGUGGUCAAGCUACUCAACAACACGCUCAACAAAGGGGGAGUGAUGAGCCCAUCUAGCAGGCUACACGAUGUGCAACGGCGGGUGAAGGCCCAAUGCACGAUGAGGAGGAACAAGUGGCGAGCCAAUUUCAUACAGAGGUACCUAAGGAAUCCUUGGGUGUUUAUCUCCCUCGUAGCCGCCGUCGUCCUACUUGUGGCCACUCUAUUGCAGACUGUGUAUACUGUUUUGCCCUUCUAUAAGAUUAUUUAG
rnacentral:rRNA from 1 species